UGCGCCUUGCCAGCCCGCUCAGAAACUCAAAGGAAUUGACGGGGGCCCGCGACAAGCGGUGGAGCAUGUGGUUUAAUUCGAUGAUACGCGAGGAACCUUACCUGGGCUCAAAUGUAUGUUGACGUAUUCUGAAAGGGAUACUCUUCGGACAAUAUACAAGGUGCUGCAUGGUUGUCGUCAGCUCGUGCCGUGAGGUGUCGGGUUAAGUCCCAUAACGAGCGCAACCCUUGCCUUUAGUUGCCAGCAGUUCGGCUGGGCACUCUAAAGGGACUGCCGGUGUUAAACCGGAGGAAGGUGGGGAUGACGUCAAGUCCUCAUGGCCUUUAUGACCAGGGCUACACACGUACUACAAUGGCCGAUACAAAGGGCAGCGACACUGCGAGGUGAAGCCAAUCCCGUAAAAUCGGUCUCAGUCCGGAUUGGAGUCUGCAACUCGACUCCAUGAAGUUGGAAUCGCUAGUAAUCGUGGAUCAGCAUGCCACGGUGAAUACGUUCCCGGGCCUU
rnacentral:rRNA from 1 species